UGGGGAAUUUUGGACAAUGGGCGAAAGCCUGAUCCAGCAAUGCCGCGUGUGUGAAGAAGGCCUUCGGGUUGUAAAGCACUUUUGUCCGGAAAGAAAUCCUUGGCUCUAAUACAGUCGGGGGAUGACGGUACCGGAAGAAUAAGCACCGGCUAACUACGUGCCAGCAGCCGCGGUAAUACGUAGGGUGCAAGCGUUAAUCGGAAUUACUGGGCGUAAAGCGUGCGCAGGCGGUUUGCUAAGGCCGAUGUGAAAUCCCCGGGCUCAACCUGGGAACUGCAUUGGUGACUGGCAGGCUAGAGUAUGGCAGAGGGGGGUAGAAUUCCACGUGUAGCAGUGAAAUGCGUAGAGAUGUGGAGGAAUACCGAUGGCGAAGGCAGCCCCCUGGGCCAAUACUGACGCUCAUGCACGAAAGCGUGGGGAGCAAACAGGAUUAGAUACCCUGGUAGUCCACGCCCUAAACGAUGUCAACUAGUUGUUGGGGAUUCAUUCCUUAGUAACGUAGCUAACGCGUGAAGUUGACCGCCUGGGGAGUACGGUCGCAAGAUUAAAACUCAAAUGAAUUGACGGGGUCAUAGCUGUUUCCU
rnacentral:rRNA from 1 species